CACGUAGGGGGCGAGCGUUGUUCGGAAUUACUGGGCGUAAAUGGCAUGUAGGCGGUCUUGUAAGCUUGGCGUGAAAUACCACGGCUCAACCGUGGGAAUGCGUUGAGAACUGCGAGGCUUGAGUGACGGAGAGGGAGCUAGAAUUCCUGGUGUAGGGGUGGAAUCUGUAGAGAUCAGGAAGAAUACCAAUGGCGAAGGCAAGCUCCUGGCCGAUGACUGACGCUGAGGUGCGAAAGCGUGGGGAUCAAACAGGAUUAGAAACCCCCAGUAGU
rnacentral:rRNA from 1 species